UGGGGAAUAUUGCACAAUGGGGGAAACCCUGAUGCAGCGACGCCGCGUGAACGAAGAAGGUAUUCGUAUCGUAAAGUUCUGUCCUAUGGGAAGAUAAUGACAGUACCAUAGAAGAAAGCUCCGGCUAAAUACGUGCCAGCAGCCGCGGUAAUACGUAUGGAGCGAGCGUUGUCCGGAAUUAUUGGGCGUAAAGGGUACGCAGGCGGUUUAAUAAGUCGAAUGUUAAAGAUCGGGGCUCAACCCCGCAAAGCAUUGGAAACUGAUAAACUUGAGUAGUGGAGAGGAAAGUGGAAUUCCUAGUGUAGUGGUGAAAUACGUAGAUAUUAGGAGGAAUACCAGUAGCGAAGGCGACUUUCUGGACACAAACUGACGCUGAGGUACGAAAGCGUGGGGAGCUAACAGG
rnacentral:rRNA from 1 species